GACGAACGCUGGCGGCGUGCUUAACACAUGCAAGUCGAACGGAAAGGCCCUGCUUUUGUGGGGUGCUCGAGUGGCGAACGGGUGAGUAACACGUGAGUAACCUGCCCUUGACUUUGGGAUAACUUCAGGAAACUGGGGCUAAUACCGGAUCGGAGAUCCUGCUGGAUGGUGGGGGUUGGAAAGUUUCGGCGGGUGGGGAUGGACUCGCGGCUUAUCAGCUUGUUGGUUGGGUAGUGGCAUGCCCAGGCUUUGACGGGUAGCCCGCAUGGGUGGGGGACCGGCCACAAUGGGACUGAGAGACGCCCCAGACUCCUACGGGAGGCAGCAGUGGGAAAUAUUGCACAAUGGGCGGAAGCCUGAUGCGGCAACGCCGCGGUCGGGAUGACGGCCUUCGGGUUGUGAACCGCUUUCGCCUGUGACGAAGCGGGAGUGACGGUAAUGGGUAAAGAAGCACCGGCUAACUACGUG
rnacentral:rRNA from 1 species